rnacentral:lncRNA from 1 species
AUUGCAGCUUACAGAAGACCCAGCUAAGGCCAUGUCUGGACUUUAAAUCCACAGGAACUGUGAGAUGGUAUCAGAAGUGGGACCUGCAGUGGGGCAUCUAGCAACCCCCAGGAGCAUUGAGUGACCAGGCAUGGUACCCACUGGGCUCAGGGUGUCCAUUGUUCUCUCGAAGCAACUGAGAAUUGUGGAUAUUCUUUGUUAUUCCAUCAUCAUCUCAAACCUCUUGGGUAUAGUGUUUGAAUGCUACUCUGACCAUAAAUUCCAAUAAAACCUAGGAAAAAAUGAAACUACUAUAUUAACUGAAAGGAUAUCAGAGAGACUUCUCUACUGCUUGGGACACUUGUUCAGAGUACAAUUUCCGUAGCAGCAAGAAAAGGAAUUUUUGUUUCUGGAUACUUUAAAGUAAAUAAAGCUAUUAUAGAAGGCAAAAG